rnacentral:lncRNA from 1 species
CCUGAGGUGAUACUGGUCCUCUCUCCACAUCCGGUGCCGGCGGCCUGCCUCCCCACGUUUGGCACAAGUGCUGCCAUCCUGGCUGGUGGUGGUGUUGUGGUGUUGGCCAGCAGUGGUGGUGCGAGGGGGACGGCCGGAUCUGACCCCUCUAGGUCCAGAUCUGCCACAUUCCUCCAGUCAGAGUCUGGUGAGGCCAAGCCCCCGGUGGUGGCAGCAACGACGUGGUCGCUUUAUGGAGCUUGGGCGACCAGUGUGGCUCUCCGGUGGCACCGUCAGUCUGGCUCCACUGCUCGAUGGAGUCCGAUCGUUGUGCAGUGGUAUUUUGUGGUUUUUGUUGUGGAUGCUAUAGUUGAAGGGGGCUUCGAGGUAAAAGCCUUGCUUGGCUUUCCGGUGCUAGCAAUGGCGAUGCUCUCAAGCGCCGUCACCUUCUCAAAGGUGUUGCUAUUGGAGUCACUGUUCAACUCCAUAUCAAGGGAAUUCUCCGGAUGA